AAUCUUCCGCAAUGGACGAAAGUCUGACGGAGCAACGCCGCGUGAGUGAUGAAGGCUUUCGGGUCGUAAAACUCUGUUGUUAGGGAAGAACAAGUACGAGAGUAACUGCUCGUACCUUGACGGUACCUAACCAGAAAGCCACGGCUAACUACGUGCCAGCAGCCGCGGUAAUACGUAGGUGGCAAGCGUUAUCCGGAAUUAUUGGGCGUAAAGCGCGCGCAGGCGGUUUCUUAAGUCUGAUGUGAAAGCCCACGGCUCAACCGUGGAGGGUCAUUGGAAACUGGGGAACUUGAGUGCAGAAGAGAAAAGCGGAAUUCCACGUGUAGCGGUGAAAUGCGUAGAGAUGUGGAGGAACACCAGUGGCGAAGGCGGCUUUUUGGUCUGUAACUGACGCUGAGGCGCGAAAGCGUGGGGAGCAAACAGGAUUAGAUACCCUGGUAGUCC
rnacentral:rRNA from 2 species